UUAGGAAAAGUCCCCAAAAGUUGUAUCCGUUCAGCCAAAUAAAUAGGCUUCUGCAGAAGAAACCAAAUAACUUUUUUCCUCUACUUCUUUCUCCAAGAUACAAGUAAAAAAACUCUCUUCUUCUUUGUGGCGAAGAACUUCUGUGGAAGAUUUUUGCGUUAUUAAUGGAGCAAUAUUCUUCUCUAUAAUUUAGAGUAUUAGAUUGGGUCUACUUCCAUCUCCCGUAGCUGACUGUCGUUUUCAGUAUUAGCACCGAGUCUUCUGGGUGAGCACGGCCGUUCGCUGCCUUGAAGACUUCUCUUUUUAAUUAUGUCUUAUUCCUAUUCAGAGACAUAGACAUUUUUAUGUAUUAUUACUCCAGACUUGUAUUAUUUCCUUUUAGAUGCUCUUGUAUGACUUAGACUAUACCCUGGCGGUAUUAUUAUUGUUCCGCACUAUCUUUACUAAGAUAUAUCUAUCGUGAGACCUACGUACCUAUUC